GACGAACGCUGGCGGCGUGCCUAAUACAUGCAAGUCGAACGCAUUUUCUUUCACCGUAGCUUGCUACACCGAAAGAAAAUGAGUGGCGAACGGGUGAGUAACACGUGGGUAACCUGCCCAUCAGCGGGGGAUAACACUUGGAAACAGGUGCUAAUACCGCAUAAUUCCAUUUACCGCAUGGUAAAUGGAUGAAAGGCGCUUUUGCGUCACUGAUGGAUGGACCCGCGGUGCAUUAGCUAGUUGGUGGGGUAACGGCCUACCAAGGCUGCGAUGCAUAGCCGACCUGAGAGGGUGAUCGGCCACACUGGGACUGAGACACGGCCCAGACUCCUACGGGAGGCAGCAGUAGGGAAUCUUCGGCAAUGGACGCAAGUCUGACCGAGCAACGCCGCGUGAGUGAGGAAGGUUUUCGGAUCGUAAAACUCUGUUGUUAGAGAAGAACAAGGAUGAGAGUGGAAAGUUCAUCCCUUGACGGUAUCUAACCAGAAAGCCACGGCUAACUACGUG
rnacentral:rRNA from 1 species